GACUUUGUACUCUAGGAAAUGUAUCUUUGAUAAAUUGAAGCAACUUGGUUCACUUGCUUUCUUCUUUAUUUUCUCUAUUUUAGGGCAAACACUGCAUCCUCGAUGUGUCUGGAAAUGCCAUAAAAAGAUUACAGAUUGCGCAGCUUUACCCAAUAUCCAUUUUUAUUAAACCCAAAUCCAUGGAAAAUAUCAUGGAAAUGAAUAAGCGUCUAACAGAAGAACAAGCCAGAAAAACAUUUGAGAGAGCAAUGAAACUGGAACAGGAAUUUACUGAACAUUUCACAGCUAUUGUACAGGGAGAUACGCUAGAAGACAUUUACAACCAAGUGAAGCAGAUUAUAGAAGAGCAGUCUGGUCCUUACAUCUGGGUCCCAGCAAAAGAAAAAUUGUGAAGACUGAUGUUUCUGUAUUUCUCUUUUCCAUAAUCUCAUUUUCUUUGACAUGUCUUUGCUCUUUCCUUCUGGAGUCUGUCUUCGGUACCCCUUUCAUGUUGAUUCAUAUCCCACUCAUUAUGGUCUGCACUUGUGCUUAGUUUUUACAUCUAGUGUCUCCUUCACAUUGUAUCAUCUGUAUUAUUUUAUGUCACUCUUGGUUUGUGGCCAUUUUUCAGAACUGAAGAUGGAUGACCUGAUCAGCUAUUAAGGGUUUAGGGAGAUGUGGAAAUUGUGGUAGAAUUCCUUAAUGUUUAAGGAAAAAUAACUUUAAAAGAUUUUCAGAAAAGCUUUACAUACAUUGUUUUAAAAUUUUAAUACAAGUGAAAGAAAAGUGGUUUUAAUCAGUGAUUUAGAAGACUUUAAGCAACUAUGCACGCUUAACUUUAAUAGCAUGGUUUGGCCAUUGUAUUAGUUCUCAAUCCUUUUCUCAAUUGACUUCUGUUAUUAAAGUAAUUAUUUCAUUAUAACAAAAAAGAAAAUGGUUUUUUAUUUCAAAAUUAAUCUCUGAGUUAACUUUCAUAAUUUCACAAAAAAAGGAUAUUCAUUUUUCAUAAGAGUUCUUAAAAGUCUUUUAUUGUUUGAAAGAUUUCCCCAGUACAUUUGCUAGGAAUAACAGUGUUCAAAUGUUUUUAAUCUCCUUGUACAGCACUACUUAUAGUGUCUUCAAAAGUGGUUCAUGCAUAAAUGAUCAUCACAUUUUCUGAAUUCAGGCCAUGUUUAGGUGCUAGGGGAGUUCAUGUUUUACACAGAAGGUAGAGAAGAUUUCAUACACAUAAAUGCAGACAAAACAGACACUUCAGUGGAGAUGCAGUAAUUGUUAUGGCAAUGAAAGGGAGUCCAAUUCAUAGCCUAAAACUUUAAAUGUACGCUUAGGGCUCAGAUUUGAUGAGUAUUUUACCCACAAUAACUGCCUAUUUUGUUAUAAAAUAUAUAUAAAUAUAAAUAUAUAUAAAACUUUCUUUAAACUCUGUAACUAUGGGAAUUAUUUUCUUUACAUAGUUGCAUACA